rnacentral:rRNA from 1 species
AGUGAACGCUGGCGGUAGGCCUAACACAUGCAAGUCGAACGGCAGCACAGUAAGAGCUUGCUCUUACGGGUGGCGAGUGGCGGACGGGUGAGGAAUACAUCGGAAUCUACUUUUUCGUGGGGGAUAACGUAGGGAAACUUACGCUAAUACCGCAUACGACCUACGGGUGAAAGCAGGGGAUCUUCGGAACUUGCGCGAUUGAAUGAGCCGAUGUCGGAUUAGCUGGUUGGCGGGGUAAAGGCCCACCAAGGCGACGAUCCGUAGCUGGUCUGAGAGGAUGAUCAGCUACACUGGAACUGAGACACGUUCCAGACUCCUACAGGAGGCAGCAGUGGGGAAUAUGGGACAAGAGGCGCAAGCCUGAUCCAGCCAUACCGCGUGGGUGAAGAAGGCCUUCGGGUUGUAAAGCCCUUUUGUUGGGAAAGAAAAGCAGCAGGUGAAUACCCCGCUGUUCUGACGGUACCCAAAGAAUAAGCACCGGCUAACUUCGGG